UACGGAGGGGGCUAGCGUUGUUCGGAAUUACUGGGCGUAAAGCGCACGUAGGCGGCUUUGCAAGUCAGAGGUGAAAGCCCGGGGCUCAACCCCGGAAUUGCCUUUGAGACUGCAUCGCUAGAAUUGUGGAGAGGUAAGUGGAAUUCCCAGUGUAGAGGUGAAAUUCGUAGAUAUUGGGAAGAACACCGGUGGCGAAGGCGGGUCUCCGGGCCGUAACUGACGCUGAGGAGCGAAAGCGUGGGGAGCGAACAGG
rnacentral:rRNA from 1 species